AUUGAACGCUGGCGGCAGGCUUAACACAUGCAAGUCGAACGGUAGCAGGAGAAAGCUUGCUUUCUUGCUGACGAGUGGCGGACGGGUGAGUAAUGCUUGGGAAUCUGGCCUAUGGAGGGGGGAUAACGACGGGAAACUGUCGCUAAUACCGCGUAUUAUCGGAAGAUGAAAGUGCGGGACUGAGAGACCGCAUGCCAUAGGAUGAGCCCAAGUGGGAUUAGGUAGUUGGUGGGGUAAAGGCCUACCAAGCCUGCGAUCUCUAGCUGGUCUGAGAGGAUGACCAGCCACACUGGAACUGAGACACGGUCCAGACUCCUACGGGAGGCAGCAGUGGGGAAUAUUGCGCAAUGGGGGGAACCCUGACGCAGCCAUGCCGCGUGAAUGAAGAAGGCCUUAGGGUUGUAAAGUUCUUUCGGUAUUGAGGAAGGUUGAUGUGUUAAUAGCACAUCAAAUUGACGUUAAAUACAGAAGAAGCACCGGCUAACUCCGUGCCAGCAGCCGCGGUAAUACGGAGGGUGCGAGCGUUAAUCGGAAUAACUGGGCGUAAAGGGCACGCAGGCGGUUAUUUAAGUGAGGUGUGAAAGCCCCGGGCUUAACCUGGGAAUUGCAUUUCAGACUGGGUAACUAGAGUACUUCAGGGAGGGGUAGAAUUCCACGUGUAGCGGUGAAAUGCGUAGAGAUGUGGAGGAAUACCGAAGGCGAAGCAGCCCCUUGGGAAUGUACUGACGCUCAUGUGCGAAAGCGUGGGGAGCAAACAGG
rnacentral:rRNA from 1 species